rnacentral:rRNA from 1 species
CCUACGGGAGGCAGCAGUGGGGAAUAUUGCACAAUGGGGGAAACCCUGAUGCAGCGACGCCGCGUGAGUGAAGAAGUAUUUCGGUACGUAAAGCUCUAUCAACAGGGAAGAAAAUGACGGUACCUGACUAAGAAGCCCCGGCUAACUACGUGCCAGAAGCCGCGGUAAUACGUAGGGGGCAAGCGUUAUCCGGAUUUACUGGGUGUAAAGGGAGCGUAGACGGCAGCGCAAGUCUGGCGUGAAAUCCCAUGGCUUAACCAUGGAACUGCUUUGGAAACUGUGCAGCUAGAGUGCAGGAGAGGUAAGCGGAAUUCCUAGUGUAGCGGUGAAAUGCGUAGAUAUUAGGAGGAACACCAGUGGCGAAGGCGGCUUACUGGACUGUAACUGACGUUGAGGCUCGAAAGCGUGGGGAGCAAACAGGAUUAGAUACCCGAGUAGUC